rnacentral:rRNA from 1 species
UACGUAGGGACCGAGCGUUGUCCGGAAUUACUGGGCGUAAAGAGCUCGUAGGUGGUUUGUCGCGUUGUUCGUGAAAACUCACAGCUCAACUGUGGGCGUGCGGGCGAUACGGGCAGACUAGAGUACUGCAGGGGGAGACUGGAAUUCCUGGUGUAGCGGUGGAAUGCGCAGAUAUCAGGAGGAACACCGGUGGCGAAGGCGGGUCUCUGGGCCUGUACUGACGCUGAGGAGCGAAAGCGUGGGGAGCGAACAGG